ensembl:lncRNA
CCCGAAUCAGCCCAGAAUGAGCCAGCUGACACCUCUGAUGACUCAGUUUCUCUCCACGUUGAAGGUGCGGUUCAUGAGCGCUGGAGCGCGUCACUAAGCCCCGCCCCCCCCGCUCGCUAUGACUCCGUCAAACCGUCAGAGCAACAUCACCAUGGAGACCGAACUGUCGCUAGCUUAAUGAAUGUGGUGUUGUCUGAGGGGAGGAAACCAAGUAACAACUCAACAGAGAAACAGACAUGAGUUUCUAAAACGUUUCGGCGGAGGACACGUUUAAGAUGAUAAGAUGAUAAGAUAAAACGAAAAGACAGAAGCGAAAGCUAAAGCUAAUAGCAUCAAAGUCAAUCAAACACAGCAUAGCAUAGAAGUGCUACCGCCAGGUGAUAAAGCGCUAACACUAGUUUAAUGGUCUGCUAGUGUUUUCUCCACACUUUUUUUCUUUGCAACGGAACCUUUUUUCUAAGUCUGAAACGUCAGCUCGAAGGUCUUCAGAAAAGCACACGGUGGGACAGGAGGACAAGACACUCCACUCCAACUACCGAAACUAACGGGAAAAAGAGGACCAGUGAAAUGGUUUCAAAUCAGAGACACUGACAUUGCAGACUGUUCCUCUCUUCCAGCUGACUGGGAAGCUGCAGAGGGCGAGAGCUGCAUGUAAAAAGGUCCAAUAAUAUGAGGCGUAGUCGCCUCAUUACCGGCCGCUUCAUUUCCUCUCUCUGUCUCGUCGGGGCCCACUCAGGUAGAAAGGCCGUGCUUUCAUAAAGAGAGUGUCUCAGUGGGGCGUUUUGAAUAUAUUAAUAUAUUAAUGCUUGUGUCAGGGACACCCGGUGUCAUGAUGGAGCUUUAGAUAUCGAUGGCUUCAUGUGAACGUGUGGAAAUGGUGCGUGGACGUCUCAAACUUCCUUCCCGGUUCAGGUUCAUCUCGGUAAUAUUGUUAAAAUGUAUGUAUUUUUGGGCUGUUUGUGUCGUAUUACGUCAGAAAAGUGGUUGCAACUGUGAGCAAAGAAUUGGGAGCCAUUUACCCAGAAGGCUUUUCAACAGCGAGCGAUUUUUAAAAACACUUCUAAUAAGAAGUCGUUGUUGUGCAGAAAGGCUCCAGCUGACUGGAAGGUGAUGGAGGUUUUAUGCAUCAGUGUUGAAUUAGCAUUGGAGACGGGGUGUCGUUUCAACUACUUUAGAGUUCAAACUGUUCAUUCCAAAGGUCUGAAAUAAACUCAUCGGGGGCUAAAGAUCAACCGGAGAGGAAAGAACACAAAAAGAAAAAGCUUUGCCAGGAAAAAAUAACUUUUUUAUUGGGUCCGUGUCAAGAGCAGAUGAGAGAGCGCUUCAGAAAAACAGAAGGAAACGCAAAUAAAAGACAAUCAAACCGCGGACGUGAAGUGCAGAUUCAGAGCUGAGAACAUAGAAGUCGCUAUCCAUCAUCUUUAUCCCAAUAUCAAGAUAUAUAUCCGCAUUCUGUUUUUCUAAAUAUGGGAUCAUUUGAUGUCAGUGGGACAAAUAAUUUGAAUAAAAGUUUAUUUUGGUUUUCGGCUUUUGUAAAAUAUUGUUAAGUGGCUCAUCACGUUUUUUUUAUUUAUUUAACAGAAAAUACAUUUUGAAGGAAAAAUAAUGCCGUGCAGGCUACAUUCUAAUAUAAUGAAACGCAUCCAAUGAGUACCUGAGUGCGGUACUUAUGUAUUUAUGUAUUUAAGUACGCACAAACUUUCCUGCUUCUCUGGUGUCCUUGAACACAAGACACAAGACGACCACGAGUCUCUUUGUGAUAUUUAACAGUGCUGACCUUUCAAGAGGAAAGGUAAAGUACAUCAUGUAUACAAACAAGCACUCCUCAGGGCGUCCUUCACCUUUGACCUCUGCACCUCUCACAGUUUGAUUUGAGGCUGAACCAUUUCCUGUUUCGAGAGGCGCCAGAAAGGAAAAAAAAAGUGGCGGUUCCUUUUCCCACAGAGAGACGACUCGCAGCGUUUCCUACAGAGUAUUGAGUGUAGAACUCGGUCAGGGGGUUCUGUUCAAAGGUCAGGCGCCUUGCUCAAAGGCAGCAGGGAGCAGGAAGAUGACAGGAGGCCAAACGUCUCAUCGGCGCAGACGUUUCAGGUGGUCGGGACAACAGGAUGUCUUCCCGGGCAGCAAACAGGGGCGUCUCCGACAAGUUCUUCUCGACAUCUGACGUCUCUCGGACUGUAACUGCAGACGAGGACGUGACCUCAAACGACCCGUAGGGGUUAAAAGGAGAUAAGAAACGAAUCCACAAAGGUUUCUGCGACGCCAGGGCGGUUAACAAAGCUCCAGCGUGUUCACGAACCCUCACUUGUUGAGCCUAAAGGACUUUGGACUCAACCUCAAUGUUUCACACUGGAAUAUAAUAAUGGCGUUAAAACAAACCGCUCCAACGGCCUCCGGGCGACAUGGGAGCCAGACGUCUGGACAAAUGUUUUACAGAGCUCUCCGGAUUCACCGCCUCACUGUAGACCAACCGGAACAAGAGAAACCAAACAAACCCAGAGAGAGAGAGAGAGGGAGAGGGGGGGAGAGAGGGAGGGAGGUGAAUGGAGUCCCGACUCGCUGUGUGAGUCUGCAGCAUCACACAUGGAGGACACAUGAUCGCACAUCGCAGCUUUUAUUGGGCACAACCAAAAGGCUGUGAGAGGGACCCUCUGCUCCCCCCCCCCCCCUCGCUCCCCCAGCGCCGCCCUGACACCAAGCCGCCGCCUCAUCCUGCUGCAGCAUUCAUUAAAUGACCCGAUAAGUCCGGGGGGGGGGGGGCGACCAGCCGAGUUGUUGGCGUCGGCCUCGUGGAGCUGAGCUGCCGGCAGAUAAGGAAAAGCUAAUUAACGGGCACAUCUGUGCGCCUCAUGGCCGCGUCGGAGAGGACCCAGGCGACGGGGUCGGUUGGAGGCAAUGCGAAAGGGAGAAGAGGGGGGGGGGGGGGGGGGCGGUGAAGACGGACAUAAAGGCAGACGAAGAGACAAGGUCUGUUAGUUUAUCAACAUCCUGUUCGUCCCUCUGGACCCCUCGGACCUCCAACAUCUGGCCCCCGGAGGCCCACAUCUGGUCCUCCUCGCGGCCGCAGGUCCCGACCAACAAGUCGCUGCUUCGACUGGCGGAGAAUCACAUGGCGCCCAAAUGAAAACAGG